GAACUGUGAUUGCUGUGACAUACUGGACUGGUUUGCCUGAAUUUCUGUUGUCAGGGAGAUAAUAACCUGACAUUCAGAUCCUGCAAUAGAUGGAACAUUUCAUCUGGUUAAUACGACCAUUUAUAGCACACCACGAUGUUUGUUUACCAUUUAACACUAAACCAGAUGGAUACAGUCUCGUCUGAAAUAGAAAUGUUGGUCUGACACUAAUACUGACUUGAUCCCCUGAUUCCAUCUAAAUGUCGCUGUCUGACUUUCAGUUCUUCCAGUACUCCGACGGUGCCGUUCUCUACUGCAGACCUGCUGUACAACCCAGAGGUGAGUCGGCCCGCCCCUACGGCUGAUGACUUCUCCACCACCGAUCUAGUCUACUUCGACCGAGAGAAGGACAAGCUAAAGCUGCGGGACAUCGACGCCAACAGGAGGCCCACCAGCCGGAACAACUCGAGAAGAUCCAUAUCACUGGAAAAAGUUAAUUUUGAAGGGGAAAAAGAUGAGUUGCGGCCUAUUAAGAACACAUUCCCUACAGCUAAAGGGCAGAACCCUGGUAGGACCAACGGGGUCCGUGGAACACUGCUGAGAAGUGAUCAGUUACUGAAUCACAAAAACAAUGUACAAGGACGGGAGCCUGAUGACCUUGUAGCUAUGGGCACAAUAUGGAGUCCCAACUUACAACAACAACUCCACAACAACCUCCACAACGACCAGUUCCAAGUCUUUCUCUCUUACUUCCACGUCUAACACAUCCAAUGUGAAUCCCCGGAAAGGCCCAAGUGCUACCACCACACGUGUUGGAUUCCCAAACAAUUUCUCCACAUCUAGAUCUACUGCCAAAGAUAGUGAACCAAAGUAUACAGACCCAGUUUCAGGAGCAUCACCUUCAUUCCAACAAAGACUAAUGGAGUUGUCUGCCCUUGAGGCUGAAACCGUACGAUGGGAAAGAACUAAAAAAAUUAAGAAAAAGUCCAAACAAGACCGUGAUUCUUGAUGAUGUUUAUAAGUGUAGAUAUUGUUGAGAGUGCCAAGAUGGUAGCAGGAUGCAAUAAGGUGUGCCCUCAACCUGCUCCACGGCCCAUACCAAUGGAAGGAGGACGCUCUGUGUGGUCUGUAGGACAGGACUUGGGAGACUUGGUGUCAGUGCUCAGCGUGGAGCAUCCAGACUGACCUUCUUCUCUCUGGACACGGUGUAGUCAUGAUCCGUGAUACAUACAUACAGUAUUUGACAGGCCAUGAGGUCAACAGACCUCAUUCAUGCUUGUCUUAGUGUCUGAGCUGCUCACUCGUAUAUUUUUUCACAAUUUAGAUUCCGUAAUACCCAAUUGGGGGAAGAUAGUUGAAACCUGUUACAUAAUAUUUUUCAAAUAUUUACUCCAAGUGUUACGUGAUCAAGGUUUACAGUGUGUUGCUAAAAGCUCCCACCAUGACUUGCACAUCAGAAAGAUCUCGCAUACUUACAGUGUAUGAAGUAAGCCAAAAACCCUGCCAGACAUCAGGGAUGGUAACUUCAAAAUGUUACCAGCCCAAAAUGGAUUAACCAGAUCAGACACCAAGAUAUGUAUGGAACAUCUAACAGUUUUUCCAGACCAUCGGGCUGGCUAACUGUUAAUCUAGACUGUCCUUCAGAAAUCUAGCCCGUCUUGGGCGGUCGGACGGGCCUUAUGAAGGCUUUUACAUAUUUCAAAUGUGAGACUUAAGAAUUUGGAAUAAUGCCUAAAAUGUAGAAAAUUAUCUGAAAGGAGAAUCUUAUCAAUUGAUAUAUAUUUCCACUUGACAUAUGAGCAUUCUGUUUGGGCAACUGUAGGCCAUAUUAUUGUUUCCAUUUCAAAAAUAUUUUUAUAUUAUCCAUUAUUUUUCUGGAACAUGUCAAAAAGACACCCCAGCACGUGAAGUAUCAAAUGUUUGAUCCCAUUGUAUGAAUGAAAACAAAAGGUGACGUUGUAUUUACCAUUGCAAGUUAAAUUGCUUCAGUUCAGGUAUCGGAUCAUACCUUACUAUUGAAGUAUACAUCACUGCAACCAGGCAACUAGCGAAUAAUACCAAGAUCUUUGCAUUUGAAACAUUUCCAGCAUUUAGCUGGAGUCCAAUCAGAUAUAUAUGUACAGAAGUCGAGGGUCCCACGGAUACUACUUCCAUGACGUAUAUUCGUGUUAUCUGCAGAUGAUGAAGAACUUGAGAAAGGCAUUCAAAUGAAUGAAUAUUCCUGUGUGGGAAAUGUGAGCAGUUCAGCUCACCAUUAAAUAUAUAUAUAUAUUUGUACAGUUGACAUUCUGGGGUUCUUGGCUACCAGAGUGGGAUUUCCCGUUAGAAGUCAUGGACCCUCACAUUGAGUGUGCCUGUACAGUCAAGGGGAGAUAAUUAAGGAAAGUUGCUGUUUGAGAACUGAACUAGCAAUAGCAGAAACAAAUGAAAUCAGUCACUGAGAACAGACUGGCAUUGACAGUUACACUGUUAUAGCCUGUUUGUAAUGGAAUCAAAGAUAUUUUUGUGAACAAAUCUUGUUAUUUUCAUCAGUGUUACAGUAUUAAUAGAGGACAGAUGUUCCCUGUCUUAUUCAUGUUUCAUCGAAACUGGCAUUAAAUGUGUGUCUGUUUGAAAUGUAUGUUUAUGUAGUGUUUGAGAUUAUACUGUAUUCAUGGAAAACUUAAGUUUUAUGACAACUGUAAGUAAGUUUGUGUCAAAUAUUUUUUAAUUUUGACUUAGGGGUAUGCAUAAGUUAAAAAGGUAAGUUGUAGUCUUUGUUUUGUUAUGUUUGAACUUUAUAGCAAUUAAACACCAAAAUACAAGGAUAGAAGAGACUUCAUAUUUGCACCAACUAGCUCACAUAAUCAUUUGUUGUCGUUUUAGAUACUAUAUAACAUGCCAGCAAUACAGUGCUCACCCUAAAACAAGUUCAUAAUAUGUGUGGAAAGUGAAACAGUAUUUUUGUAUCUUAACCCUGAAGCAUGAGAGAGUGAACAUGUCAAUUUGUUUCUGUGAUAUUUGUCCAGUUUAUUUUUUUGGAACAAAUUUUUAAUUUGAAUUACUAGUUAGAAUAUCUGUUGUUUACAUGCAAACUCAUAUCAUAUUACGUUGAAAAGAUAAUAAAUGUAUGGAAGUACA
rnacentral:lncRNA from 1 species